rnacentral:rRNA from 1 species
GGCCCAGACUCCUACGGGAGGCAGCAGUAGGGAAUCUUCCGCAAUGGACGAAAGUCUGACGGAGCAACGCCGCGUGAGCGAAGAAGGCCUUCGGGUCGUAAAGCUCUGUUGUUAGGGAAGAACAAGUAUCGGAGUAACUGCCGGUACCUUGACGGUACCUAACCAGAAAGCCACGGCUAACUACGUGCCAGCAGCCGCGGUAAUACGUAGGUGGCAAGCGUUGUCCGGAAUUAUUGGGCGUAAAGCGCGCGCAGGCGGUCCUUUAAGUCUGAUGUGAAAGCCCACGGCUCAACCGUGGAGGGUCAUUGGAAACUGGGGGACUUGAGUGCAGAAGAGGAAAGCGGAAUUCCACGUGUAGCGGUGAAAUGCGUAGAGAUGUGGAGGAACACCAGUGGCGAAGGCGGCUUUCUGGUCUGUAACUGACGCUGAGGCGCGAAAGCGUGGGGAGCAAACAGGAUUAGAUACCCUGGUAGUCCACGCCGUAAACGAUGAGUGCUAAGUGUUAGAGGGUUUCCGCCCUUUAGUGCUGCAGCUAACGCAUUAAGCACUCCGCCUGGGGAGU